AGGCUUGUAGCUCAGGUUGUUAGAGCGCACCCCUGAUAAGGGUGAGGUCGGUGGUUCAAGUCCACUCAGGCCUACCA
rnacentral:tRNA from 1 species